rnacentral:rRNA from 1 species
CAGGUCACGAGUAAAGCUCGUAGUUGGAUUUCUGGGGUAGUCUGCGGUUCAGCAAUGGAUCGUAGACCAUACCCAUCCUUCUGUUAACAUGUGUUGGCAUUCGUGCUGGACAUGGGCUCAGAUAUUUACCUUGAGAAAAUAGAGUGUUCAGGCAGGCUUGGCCGGAAUACAAAAGCAUGGAAUAAUGGAAUGACAUAACUCUGUGGUUGGCCAGAGAAGUGUAUGAUUAAUAGGAACGGUUGGGGCAUUAGUAUUAAUGUCAGAGGUGAAUCUGGUUUGUAAAGACACUAGGAAGCUUGC